AGGCAUCCCCCCUUUAGCACCGGUUCGUGAAAACCGGUGCCAAAACAAAUGGGCGGGAUUGAAACAUUCAGCGUUAGCACCGGUUCCAACCAAACCGGUGCCAAAUCAUAUAAUUACCACCGGUUCAAACUGGUGCCAAUUUAAAAAAAAAAAUUAAAAAAAAAAGUAUGGAAUAGAGUUGGCACCGGUUCGCCUUAAACUGGUGCCAACUAUGGUAUUUAGCACCGGUUUAAACCGGUGCCAUUUUUUUAAAAAAAAAAACCGGGUGAAAUAAAAAAAAAUCGGGUAUUCAUUUCUCUGCUUCUUCUUCUUUCUUUCUUUCCCCCCUGCAUUUCAUUUUCGUUAACCCUAACUCUCGUUUUCGCCCUUCUCUUAGCUUCGAUCACCUUUCUCCUUAUUUCUCCUUCAUUACGCGUGCUUGUAGUUCUCCAGUAAAGCGCAUUCUGAGCUUUGUCCAUAUCACUCCUCCACUACGCGUAUUGUUAAUUCUCCAUUUAAGCAGAUUCGAGCUUUCUCACCUUCGUUGAAGCAGCUUCGAGCUGAAUAUUGUGGAGGGUAAGAUGCAGUAUUUGUUUGAUGAGACGGGUAGACGCUAUCUUGAUGCAUUUGCAGGGAUUGUGACUGUGUCUUGUGGCCACUGCCACCCUGAUAUAUUGAAUGCUGCAAUAGAGCAAAGUAAACUUCUUCAACAUGCAACAACUAUAUAUUUGCACCAUGCCAUAGCUGACUUUGCAGAGGCUUUGGCAUCGAAAAUGCCUGGAAAUCUAAACGUUGCUUCUCAUAACCUAUAUUGCCCCACUUUAACCCUUGCAAAGUUAUGUUGCUUAUUGUUUUAAUUUGACAUGUCUCACUAAUCUGAUCAUCAUCUCUCAUUGCUUGCACUCUAGGCAGUUUGUAGUUAGUUGUUAAUUUUGUUAUAGAUAUUAUUUACUAGUACUAUGUAGCAUCUCACUCAUAAAUUUACUAGUUGAUUUCAAGGCUUUCCUCAAAAUUUAAGAACUGAAUUCUAUGUUUUAGUAUAUGACAUGAUUGUUAAUGUACAAUAUGCUUUCAAUUCUUACAAAUUUUGUUAACAAUGCCUUCUGCAUUCAUUAUUAACAAGAAAAAAUCAGCUGAAGAAUUUGUUCAUGUCUUAGAAAACCUUUUUAUAAAUAGAAAAAAAAAGAAAAAUUGUUCAUGGCUCAGGAAACAUAUCCUAAAUUUUAUGAAACUGUUUCUCCAUAGUUGUGCAUGACUUUUCACAAGAUAGCCUUUAACAUCAACUUGAUUUGAGAUUUCAUAUAUCAGUUAUACAAUUUUUUUAUUUACUUUAAUUUCUCAUUUGGUUUAGAAUAUAAAGUUAUGUUCUUCAAUUCUUUACUUCAUUAUUGUGUUGUAAUGUUCCAAGAUAUAUCACGAUCCCCUACACAGGUCUACAUACCAUCUUCCCCUUUACUGGUUUUAGAUAUUAAACUCUCAAGUGAGCAAGAACUUGAAGUGAGGGUAUGGCAUUUCUGGCUCAUCAAUGUAAACUUUAAAUGCAGGCUGUCUAUUUCGUCAAUUCUGGGACAGAAGCAAAUGAAUUGGCUACGCUGAUGGCAAAGCUUUAUACUGGUAAUCAUGGCAUGAUUUCAUUAAGAAAUGCCUACCAUGGUGGAAGUAGUAAUACCAUUGGAUUGACGGCUUUAAAUACAUGGAAAUACUCAAUACCACAGGUCUUUCUGCUACAAUGGAAGUCCGCAUAGUCUACUUUGAUAUCAUGAGACCAUGAGACCAGCAGAACAGCAAUAGCAGUGCAGAACCAGGACAAUAGUACCAGUGCAGACAGAAGACACACAGCAGCCAGAAACCUUGGACACUUCAAUUUUGUUUUUGGACGAAAAUUGUAAUAUUUUAGCCUUUUUUAAUGAAAAAAAUGUAACUUU